CGGUGGAGCAUGUGGUUUAAUUCGAAGCAACGCGAAGACCUUACCAGGUCUUGACAUCCCGAUGCUAUUUCUAGAGAUAGAAAGUUACUUCGGUACAUCGGUGACAGGUGGUGCAUGGUUGUCGUCAGCUCGUGUCGUGAGAUGUUGGGUUAAGUCCCGCAACGAGCGCAACCCCUAUUGUUAGUUGCCAUCAUUCAGUUGGGCACUCUAGCGAGACUGCCGGUAAUAAACCGGAGGAAGGUGGGGAUGACGUCAAAUCAUCAUGCCCCUUAUGACCUGGGCUACACACGUGCUACAAUGGUUGGUACAACGAGUUGCGAGUCGGUGACGGCGAGCUAAUCUCUUAAAGCCAAUCUCAGUUCGGAUUGUAGGCUGCAACUCGCCUACAUGAAGUCGGAAUCGCUAGUAAUCGCGGAUCAGCACGCCGCGGUGAAUACGUUCCCGGGCCUU
rnacentral:rRNA from 1 species